rnacentral:lncRNA from 1 species
GAAUCGAUCAAGAAGUUUUUAAAUUCUAUCAACCUUUUUUUUUAUGGCUUUUGUUCCUGCACUUGAACUCCACUCUGAGCAGUCUUUACCCCAGGUACAAAUAUAAUUGUGAACUACCAGGACAUUGUGGGGAGGGAACUUACGUUUAGAAAUUUUACAGAAAUCUCCACCAACAUGUCCACUACUCUUCAUCUUGAUCACACUAUAUAUAUUGAUCCACAAAAGUUGGUGCAUUUUCAUCUCUGUGAGUGACCAACUGAAUUACAAGAAGUAAUAAUAUUUUUCAUGAUGAAAUACUAUUGAAAGACCUGAGAUUUAGUUCAGACAUUGCAACAGAGAACCAUACAUACUCAAUUUAUAUUUAUAUAAGAUACCUUCAAAUGAUAUUGGUUCAAGCUUGAAAAAACGAGGAAGGCGAUUUCCUUGUAUCAUCAGCCAUCUUUCAAAUUAUUAAAAAUUAAUCAAGCUCGAAAUAAUUGAUUAGGGGGCAUGAUCUGAACUUUCUUUUGUUGUUUCUAUUAAGUCAUUAAAGGGUAGAUUGGAGUUUAUAUGAGUUCGUUCUCUACUGCUUUUGUAUUUGCUUUGAGAGUGCUUACCAAUUUUUCUUUCAUUCUGUAAUCUAUUGAAUUUAUCAGCUGAAGAAAGAUCAUUUUUUGGAUUCUUCAUUGUCAUCAAUAUCUAUAGGUUUCACCAGAUCAUCCUACACCCGCCUCUGAGUUAAGCUUCUUUGAAUUAUCGCUUCCUGUUGCUAAUGAAUUUAAUUAGAUUUUUAUCAAAACAUGUUUUAUGUCUCUUCUUUGGGUACUUGUAAAUAGAUACAUAUGUUGACAACUUAGUUGAAGUACCCUUCUUGGUUGUUUGGUUAUAGAUAGAGUUUUGCAGCAAAUGUAUUCUUUACUUUAUCAUCUCUAAUGUUAUGUGUUGAGUUUUAUUAGCACAACUCAAAUUUUAGAAUUUAUGUUGUGACCCAAUUUUUGAGUUCAAGGAUCCUUGUUAAUAUUGUAGUUUUGAUUUUACUAUUACAAUGAUAUUAGGGUAAUAAAUCUCCUCAGUCCCUGCUAUCUCUAAGAAAUCAAAAAGAGAGAACUCCAAUGUUUAAGUGCAUUUUACCAGUUUUUCAAACACGUAAGGACGGACUUCUCUAUGGAAGAUGGAUAAAACUACAUGAUAACAUAAUAAAAAAGAUUUAAAAUGAAAUGUACGAUAGUUAGCAACCUAGAAUGUGAAUUUAAGGUACAGAGUUGUCGAGCAAACGACGUUUUUUGAAUUUAGCUCUGUCUGCUCUUUGUCAAGCUAAAAAAUAUUUUUUCUCGAAUAAUAUUAGUUUAAAUAACUCACUCAUCUAGCAUUUUUGUUCAGUGCAUACAUAUUCAGAGGUAUGAUCAUAAUUGUAACUCCUCCCUAACAUUGCUGUAACUUUUCUAUUCCAACGAAUAUUCUUCUAAAACAAAUCCACUGAACUAUAGUCCAUAUGUUUAAUACUAUUUAGUAUGAUUAUAUGGUGAUAUAAUUUCAACUUUAAAGGCACAUUUCAUAGGUUAAAACAACUCAGAUAAAUAUAAACACAUAUGAUUUUUAUACAUAGAUAAUAAAAAUCAGUGAAAAGGGAGAUAGACAUAUCCAAGAUGAUCGUACAAAUCUUGACAUUGACAUAUUACCAGCCGAAAGAGCAACCAUAGACCUCGAAAACUUGACAUUUUAAUGCAAAGAAGCUAACUGGAAAAUUUAAAUCCUGCAGAAGAUGACACUUACCAAAGAUAAGAAGGUUGAACACACCUAAAGACUCCAAAACAAUUUAGGCUUCAAAAUUGGAGUAAUAUUUAAGAAAAUGGCUAACCAAACCAAAAGCAAGGAUUGAUUUAGAUGAAAUCCAAGCAUCUCAUUGUGUCCUAGGUGGAGUGUCACCUGAAAAUUCUAAAAAAGAGCUAAACUCGGGACAAUUCAAAGAGACAAGAUAGUCUAGGAAAGUUCACAACAACUGAAUUCACAUAUUUUAACAGAUGUAAGAUUACUGAGAUUAUGAAUUUUUUUUGUUGCUCAAUGAUGCAUUGUUCUCACUCUUUCUGUGAUCUUUUAUCCUCCUCCAAUUCCAUGGCAAGCUUCUCUCGCUCUAAUUCAUACUGAUGAAUGAAGAAUAAGCAGUCAUGAGCUACGUCAAUGCAAGAUAAGAUCAAUAUUCUACUCUUAACAAAAACAAACAAAUAGUAAUAAUAAUUACCGUCAGUAGGUCAUUUCUAAGUUUCAGUAAAUCUUUGCUCAAGCACCUCGGAAUGUGAUCCCUAUGUAAGAGUUUUCAUCCCAUAUUAGAUAUUCUUUGUGCAACUUUUGAAUAUGAAUCUUGAGAUCGAGACAAGACAAUCACCUGAAGUUUCAUGCGUAGUACCUCCAUUUCCCUUUUGGCUGCUUUAAUAAGGCUGCAUCAUUUUAGUAUCUACAAAGAAGUUUGAACUACAAUAGGCUCUGCCUUAGACGUCAAAAGAAAGAAGCUAGUAAUUAAUAAGAAGUUCCAUUAUUUGGUUCCACUGGGAAGAAAAUCUGCAAGAAAGGAUUCUACAAGGAUGAAACUUGUGAUUUGUAAGAUAAUAAAAAUUAAAACCACUUAAAGAAUGCUCUAUACUGCUUGAAGGUAAAACUCGCCUCCUUUUUGCUUUAAAAAUUGGUGCUCGAAUAGAUGUUUUAGACUACACUCUAUAGUAUCUAUAUACCAGAACAAAAUUAAUUGUUGCAUCAUUUAGGAGUUUUCAGAAAAACAAAUCUUUUUGGAUGAGAUUUGUUAAACCUUGGUUAUGACAGAAAAAAAUGUAGUGCCUAAGUGCUGAAAUUGCAUUGUAGCUUGAUUUGAAAGUUUUGAAUGGAAGAUAUAGUGUCUUACGAACUAAUGUUAAACUAACCUAAUUAUAGUCACAGGAACACUUCUAUUCACAACAACAUACGUGACCAUUAAAUCUCAUUAGGUGUUCUCUAAAGUGGAUCACGAACAAGUAAUUACAUAAAAAGAAUAGUAAAUGGAGGCAGACCUCAUUAACUUGAACACAAUUGGUGAUCCGUUUAACUCUGCUAGCAGAUUGGAGUAUUCCCUUCAAUACAACACAUAACCAUUAUAAUUUGUGUAUCAGUGUAAAAUUUCAAACAAAAUGAGAAUCAACUUGUGUUGAUUUGCGCUGCUUCAAAUCUUAAUUGUUAAAUGAAACUAACGCAGUCUUUUUGAAGAAAAAAAAGGGACAUACGAUGUAUGUAAUCUAGAAACGCAACUCAAUUGAAGAGAUAAAAAUAUAGAAUAGUGCCACAGAUUUAGAGAAAUAAAGAAAUAGCUAAGAGAAAAAUGAAACUGAAAAGGAGAACUAAAAUGACUCGCAAUAAAAAAUAAAGCAACUGUCCGCCGGCAAUUAACCCUUCUCUUUUUAUUUUUUCAAUGUAUUUUUCAAAUCAAAGUUUCAGCAGUUACUUUCAUUGAUAGACAAAAAAUGUCGAGCAAAGACCUGGCAACAACCAUGAAAUAAGAGGGUCUGAAGAGACUCCGAAAAAGCAAGAGAAAAUACGUACAAAGAAAUCUUGUUUCACUGUUGAUAGAAUAACCUAACUGUUGCUUCUAGAAUUUGACCAGAGUGAGUAAACGACAGAGCUAGUAUAAUAUAAUUGAGCUAAAUGACUGAUAGAACUAAUGUCAAUGCUUCUGUAGAUUUUUUCCCAACUCUUCAAACUCCACAUCUCCUAUAGCUAUGAUAAGGAAGAGACAUCUUAUAUUAAUAUCAUGUCUUUUUUGUACUACUAUAUGAGCAAGCAAAUAGAACUGAUGUCAAUUCUCUAUAGUAUUUUUCUAGAUUUUUCCCCAACUCCUCACCCCCUGCCCCUCCUUUUCUAUAGUUAUGAUUUAAAAAAAAUUACAAUGCAAAUCUUCAAAUGCUCGCAGUCCACCACAAUUGAAAAUUAUCUUCCCAAAUUAAGACGGCAGAGGCAACAAUUGAUUUUAUUAUUUAUUUGAAAGAACAUGAAGCCAUAUGUAAAUUAUUGUUUUUUUCAUUUUCAUAUGCUCUUUGCCAGAAAUCAUUCGCAAGGCAGCUAAUAUCAAACAAUAUAGAUUACAAUCACACAAAUCAGUAUUUUUCAAAAUUGAAGAAAAAAAGAGUGAGAGAAGAGAAAGGGAGAGGAACUUACCGGUACAAGAGAACAGAGGAGUGAGGAGUGAACUCGGUUGGUGCCUAUUUAUUUGUGUCAAACACCUAGUAAUUCUAGAAAAAUCACGUAAGUUGUGGUUUCUAGAAAAUCAGGUGAUUUGUGGAGGAAAUAUACCACAAAGUUGAUGGAAUUUUAAAAAUAAAAUAGAUAUGAAAUACCAAAAUUUGCCCUUAAUGUACUGUUCAUCCUUUUAGCAGAAUUAGACAUUUCUCUGCAUAAUUUAAAUCGCAAUACAUACAUCCAAAUAAACAUCAAACCCUAGAUUAUCACUGACAUUAAACUAUGUUCUUAAUGGAGCAUCACAAGACUCCUCCUUUAAAUAAAACAACAAAAUAAAACCCAUAAUAUAUGCUGAAAAAUCGCUGAUUAUAACAAUAUCUCGAAAUAUAACCCGAAGAUCUUAAAUUUCUCAUAACAGAGAAUCAGGAAGCACAUAUAUUUGUAUUGAUAGAAACAAUCGAAAAGGAAAAAAAGUAUACACCUUCUUACUUGAAACCCUUUGCAGUUGAUUAUAUGUGUGACUUGCUCAAAAGCACCUUUCUUGAAAUCUAAAAUUGAGAUAGAUUAAUUAUUAUGAGGAGCUUUGAUAACCAAAAUUGAAUAUUUUGAAGAGAUAGAAGAACCAGAGAGUUUAGGAGGAAGAAUAGGAUCCCAAGAGAAAUGAGAUUCCAGAAAGUACGGCUAACAAGA